GCCUUAGGAGGCAUAUGUACGACUGAUAAGUUGUUCAGAUCUUCAUGUGCAUAGUUUUUCUCUUUUUAUUGACUUGAGAUCAGUCAAGCUGUUUCAGUAUUUCGGCAUGUUGUUCUCGGCUGACGAUCAUCUUUUUUUUCCCGUGAAAAUGUAUAGGGUUCGCAGAGCUGUCACCGCUGUUCGGCACACUGUUGCACCAGGGGCAAGACUCUGGCAUGAGCAUGCCUCCACAAGACUGCAGCAUGACGGAUCAGAUGACUCCACAUUGUUUCGUGCAGUCAGUACCCCAUAUCACACUGACGGGCAGACAGCAGUUGCAUCACUUUCUGCUAAAGAACAAGCCCUGUUCUCUCACAUCGCAGACAAAUGUUCACAACUCGGCGAGUGGUGCGUAUUCCAUCACAUUCUGGACAGACUCGCAGAUGGUGGAGAAUUUGGAGGGCUGCAUUGACGAUCCACUCAACUGUGUGCACAGUGCCCAGAUGCCAUCUUGCUGUUAUAGCUAUGGUGUUUAUGUGACUUUCGCAUUUGAGUUUCUGAUGAACGGUGAUCUCCAGGAUGUUAACACUGGAGGACUCUUGUAUGGUACUGCCAUUGAAAGUCAGGUCACAAUUUUAAACCAAUCUUCACGAAACUUCACCACAUGGUCGAGUUUGUUAUAAGGAAGAAACCUAUUAUUUUUGAGGUCAAAAGGUCAACAUAGACCAAAGGUUUGUUGCAGCCAAAAUGGGCUUGCUCCUCAUUUUCAGCUGUGCUUGGUGCUGCUUGUAGCAUAACUUUUAAAAGGCACUCUUCACUGAACCAAGCUUGGGUUCUUGGUUUGAUUGUGAUGGAGGAGUGAGGUAUGUACCUGGUCAUAAAGUUGCAUAAUGUGGUUGGAUACUUUUCUGCUGCUGUUAAUGGUCCACAGUACCUCAUGACGGAUUCCCAGUUUUAGGUUGCCACCUCUGUUCCUCAUAUGCCCCACUUGACAUCAUGUUUAUACCACACCACCUGAUGGAUAUUUUUUAUUUCAUUGAUGCAUAUCAGAAUUUGCCUUCACAAGUACAAUACUGUGGUUGCUCUUUUCAUUGAUGUCUUUCCAAUUCUGCAACAGGUGAGUUUGUCAAGCAGUUUGCAUCAUAUUAGUUAUUUUGCAACCCAAAUGCAGGCCCGGUCUGGAAAUCAUAUCCUUCAGGACUUUGCCAGGUCAUUUGGUUUGUCUUUUUGAGCUAAUCAGGUGACCACAAAGCAUCUUAUAGUGCUCUACACAGUACAUCAUCAUCAUCAUCAUCAUCAUCAUCAUCAUCAUCAUCAUCAUCAUCUUAUGGCCGUUUCCAUGUAUCCAUAUACAUAUAUAUGAAUAUAUGUAUGUAUAUGUGUAUAUUGUUGCGGUCUUCGCGCCCG
rnacentral:lncRNA from 1 species